AUUGGAUGGCGCUGUUCACUCACAAAUCUCUUAUAUUUCAAGUGCAGCUCCACCUAAUGAGUGAUUGAAGCCAGUGCACAAUCACAUCUUCCAUUUUGGAGUAUUAUAUCUGUUCCUUUUUUAUGUCAGUUAUGUUUAAUUACAUUGUAUAUAUUUAGGUGCCUAUAGCUGUAUAAUAUUUUAAAAAGUGGAUUGUUUUUGCUUUCCCUCCAAUAUAUGGUAAUAUUUAGCAAUGCAAUUUCUUUUCCUGAUUAAAAUGGGUUUAUUUAUCCGCCAUAACAGGAAGAAAUGAAUUUCAAGUGGGAAAACCUGUGGAAAGACCAACGUUUCCUUUCUUCGUCAUUUGCCGUGUCAUUUCUCUGUUCCUUGUGACAGAUGCCCGAGGAGCCAUUGAGGAAACGGGAGCUGACUUCAUUGUGAGCUGAUGAAAGAGACAGACCUUGGCCUCCCAGAAGGAGUGAUUCUAUGAGGCGACUUGAAGAGGGAUAGUACCAUACAGAAGAAUAUUGGGAGAUAUCAGCUCACUUCCGGGAGAUCACUUCCGGCGCUUUCCGCGCUUGCGCAGACUAAGCCAGAAUGCGAGCACACGUCACACACCAGAUAGCAUGCAUACCCUCAGAUCACUUGGACGUGGUUGUGUACAAGAGGUAAAAACUAUAUAAAUACUGUUCAUUUUCUUACACAAACCGCUCGUUUCGUGUCUUAG
rnacentral:lncRNA from 1 species